CGUUCCCGGGCCUUGUACACACCGCCCGUCACGUCAAUGAAAGUCGGUAACACCCGAAGCCCAUGGCCCCAACCCGCAAGGGGGGGAGUGGUCGAAGGUGGGACUGGCGAUUGGGACG
rnacentral:rRNA from 1 species